CCUGAUCCAGCCAUGCCGCGUGAGUGAUGAAGGCCUUAGGGUCGUAAAGCUCUUUCGCCUGUGAAGAUAAUGACGGUAGCAGGUAAAGAAACCCCGGCUAACUCCGUGCCAGCAGCCGCGGUAAUACGGAGGGGGUUAGCGUUGUUCGGAAUUACUGGGCGUAAAGCGCACGUAGGCGGACUGGAAAGUUGGGGGUGAAAUCCCGGGGCUCAACCCCGGAACUGCCUCCAAAACUAUCAGUCUAGAGUUCGAGAGAGGUGAGUGGAAUUCCAAGUGUAGAGGUGAAAUUCGUAGAUAUUUGGAGGAACACCAGUGGCGAAGGCGGCUCACUGGCUCGAUACUGACGCUGAGGUGCGAAAGUGUGGGGAGCAAACAGGAUUAGAUACCCUGGUAGUCCACACCGUAAACGAUGAAUGCCAGUCGUCGGGUAGCAUGCUAUUCGGUGACACACCUAACGGAUUAAGCAUUCCGCCUGGG
rnacentral:rRNA from 2 species